rnacentral:rRNA from 1 species
GAAACUAACAAGGAUUCCCCUAGUAGCGGCGAGCGAAGCGGGAAGAGCUCAAAUUUAUAAUCUGGCACCUUCGGUGUCCGAGUUGUAAUCUCUAGAAAUGUUUUCCGCGUUGGACCGCACACAAGUCUGUUGGAAUACAGCGGCAUAGUGGUGAGACCCCCGUAUAUGGUGCGGACGCCCAGCGCUUUGUGAUACAUUUUCGAAGAGUCGAGUUGUUUGGGAAUGCAGCUCAAAUUGGGUGGUAAAUUCCAUCUAAAGCUAAAUAUUGGCGAGAGACCGAUAGCGAACAAGUACCGUGAGGGAAAGAUGAAAAGCACUUUGGAAAGAGAGUUAACAGUACGUGAAAUUGUUGGAAGGGAAACGCUUGAAGUCAGACUUGCUUGCCGAGCAAUCGGUUUGCAGGCCAGCAUCAGUUUUCCGGGAUGGAUAAUGGUAGAGAGAAGGUAGCAGUUUCGGCUGUGUUAUAGCUCUCUGCUGGAUACAUCUUGGGGGACUGAGGAACGCAGUGUGCCUUUGGCGGGGGUUUCGACCUCUUCAC